GGAUGAGAUGUUCCAUGAAUCAUUUAGUCAGCUGGAUGCCAAAUUAUUCAUUUAAUGUUUAUUUUUAUGCAAUGAAUGGAAUGGGAUGGAACGUUACUAUAAACUAUCCGGAAAUUUGCGCAUGUUUGCUCGAAGGAGAGAACUGUUGAAGCCUAAAGCGUUCUCCUAGACUUAUAAAUAGACACCGUUUCCUUAACUAAUGAAGAUAAGUGAUGACGCUGAUGUAUUCCGUUUUGAAAAGAAAAUAAGGCUUUACUGCAUGUCCGCUGCAGCUGAGAAUCCUAGGACAAUAAAGAUUAUAUUGACGUCCAAUGGUGAGUUGGGCUGAAAUCCAGGUUACUAAUCCUAUUAUUUAUUUAUUUAUUGAUAUUAUUAUUAUCUUUUUUUAGGCUAACUUUCUCAGUUAACUAUGUUCUACAGUAGUUUAGUAAAUUUUCCACAGUUCUGACAUUUCAUCAAUUCAACUGGUUGUUGCCAAAAAGCCUUGUUCAUUACCUGACUGCAGCAAGCACUCUUUUACUGGGUGUAACCAUAGGAAACAGUCUCUUUUGAGCCUCUCUUUGUAAGUCCAGGAUGACCACCGUCAUUGAUUGAAGUUCACAUGUUAGCACACAUGCUCCCCCUUUUGUACUUUGUUUCAUCAGCAGCAGGGCAAAUAAGUUUCUGCCUCUUUGUCCAUCUUGUAGUGCUCCCCGUCUUUAUGUUAUGAGUCACAGCUUUUGGUGAGGGCUUCCAGGUUCUCUUUGUAUAGAAGUCAGAGCCAAACAUUCUUUGCAGCUGGUUGUGACAGGCCCACCCAGUAAAGUUCAUGCCCCCACAAUGCACAGCAAACGUUUUCCUUAAAUAUGUUGAUUGAGUUGAAAGGACAGAACUUUCUCUUUUACAAAUCAAAAUCAACGAAGGUUUCUAAUAUUUAGUCAACUUUAUUGACUCAAAGGUAAAUCUAGACUAUUUCCUAUGCACAAUUUUUCUGACUCGUCAAAUCGGUUCUACACAGGUUUUAAACUUUAGGCACAAUCUAUCCCAAAUGCAAGAUCCCUCCUUUCAUUUUUUAUUUAUCUAUUUUAUUUUGGGAAAAUAACUACCAGUUUUUUACUCAAAACAGCCUAGUACAGUUUCUAGCCAGGUUACAGGAAAUAAUACUUAGUUUAUCUGUUUUUUCAUUAUUCAGCGUCCCAAAAUCCAGCCAUUAACGUUAAUGGUUCUUAAAGUUUAGGUAAGACAAUUAUUGGAUUUUGUUUUAUAGCAAGAUUUAACAAAUAUUUUAUUUCCUGACUGAUUAUUUGUUAAUUUUAUGGUUUUCAUAAAGAUGAUCCUGAGAGGUUCAGAGCUGCUUUUCGCAGUACCCUGUGCUAUUUUUAGACUGCGGGACUCCUGUGUGUAAAAGUGGGUGGAGUCAGGUCCCCAGGCUGAAACUCCAGUCAUUCUCACUAAAUCUGUCCGAGAGGAAGGAUCUCCUGAAUACCCUAACCAGAAGCCUUAAGUCUCUCGAACUAAAUAACCGUCUAGUAAAAACAUGGACCGCACCCUGUUUCUCAAGCAGCUGCUCCCUCUAUUAAAAACUGAGUCAUUCAGAAGAUCCAGCGAAAGCAGCUCAUGCAAGAAGACACACAUUCACUCAUUCACAAAGCACAGAGACAUUCUUUGUUUGUCACAGUCUCUUUUUAUUAUUAUUAUUAUUUUUUUAAGGUAAGUCAGUUCGUCACUUAUUUAUUCUCUCUCUAUAUAUAUAUAAUAUUUUAAGCACAGAAUUUAUUUAACACUGCACUGGUUAUUUUCAGAAUUUAAUGCUUACUAUGCUUUUAAGCAGGCCUUAUGUAACAUUAGAGCAAAUCCAAUUGCAAUUUUUUUGAGAGCGCUCUGAGGAAUAGUUUAUAUAUUUAUUUUCUGCAGAUCUGUUUUGAUUUUACUGUUUAGCAGCUAUAUGACUAUAUUUCUAAAAUAAAGCUGUCAUUUACAUCCUUACUUGCGUUUCUUGGUGGUUUUUUCCCUUUUUUCAUCUCCAGGUCACUUAACCCCCAGAUCGGGGUCACUCACAUGCUGCCCCACACACAAAUGAUUAUCACGCUUCUACACUACAUAUGUAUAUAUAUGUAUACACAUAUACAUACAUACACACAUACAUAUGCAUAUGUUACUUUAAAAACCUUUUAUUUAUUAACUUAUGGUGUUCUGUUCAAAGACUGAUCAGAACAGGGUUGCAGAAUUUGAAUUUUGCGUAGCUCCAAACAUUAAUUUUAGCACUGCAGUGUAAUUUACAUAUACGAGUUGCAACUUUUUAAAGCUCUUAUUUAUCUUAUUUAUUUAUUUUCUGGUACCGCAUCAGGCCUUCACACACACACCCAGCGCUGUACACACACACACACACACAUGGAGCUCCCAAAACUCUGCUCUGCAUUCUGCACUCUCCUAGUGCUGCACUUUCAAUCCAGAGCCGUAAGCAGCCUCUUGCUGCGCCUCACACACACAGGCUGAACUCAGCUUACACACACAGGAAGCUUGUCUACAGCUGUGCCUUUUUUCUCUUGAUUCUGCAGCCUUCACUUCCCAAAUCUUUCUCCAGUUACCUCUACUGUUAACAUCUACCCCUUUUUUCUUCAUCGCCUCUUCCGCUGACUUUCUCAAUAAAACCUUAUUUCUCGUGGCUUCAACUGGGCUGCUUGUCAUAUUUAAACAUUGCUCAUUUUAUGCAAAAACAGCCAAAAGCACGCAGAAAUAGCCAAAAGCACUGCUCUCUUCACACAGAAGCAGUCAAAACAUUUAUCAUCUUAUGCAAAAACAGUUACCUCAGAACAUUUUUCUCAUCUCAUGCAAAAGGUCCUUGACCUUAAAAAUCCAGGGAGCUCUCUUUUAGCCUCCCCUUCCCUUAACACAAAAAACCAGGUCCUUGACCUUAAAAUCCAGGGAGCUCUCUUUUAGCCUCCCCUUCCCUUAACACAAAAAAACCAGGUCCUUGACCUGUGGACUUUUAGGGUUCCCACACCUAUGGAUCCAGCCAAGCUUUAUAUAACCUUGUUAUAUAUUCUAUCCGCUCGUCAGCAAAUAGUGUGGUCAGCCACGACCUGGAAAUGGAACUUUAGGGCUACUCUAUUAGCCCUGGGUCACCAUCCCUUCAUCUGUACUAUUUCCUUUUCUCAUUUACUCAUUAAACCAUUAGAAAAAUCCUCAUUUCAUUUCACCAUUAAACCAUUACAAAAAAUCUCUUAUUCUCCUGCACUUGUCUCCACUUUCUUCUCCAACUAUUAUUUUAGGACCACAGCUACUGUGAUUCUGGACACAAAGGCUUUGGAUAAAUCCAAUGAGCAGAUUUUAGAUAAUAGGCUCUGCUCACCUUGUUUUCCACCGCGGUGUUCUGUGCCAAGAUCUGUUCGCUGGGUCGGUUGGUCAAAUUGUCCUCCAAAAACUCCUUUUUCUUCAAAAAGAAAAAAUCCUGUUCGUGACGCCAAAUUUGUUGGUCUCUCUUCCGUUAGACCAAGCACGGGUACGGAGUAGAUGGAGUUAAACACCUUUUAAGUUGACAGAACGAGGAGACAAAUGAUCAGAAGUCCAUUCACUGUUUCACCGCUCAUGAGGGGGAGAGUCUCUGCAGCAAGUCCCGCGACCUGCUCUUGCCAGAUGCUUCGGACAGACUCUCGCCGUUCUGCUGAAAACGGCUGAUUUUUAUUGAAGAUUACAGGAAUGUUACAUACGUAGUUUGCCAUACACACACGUAAUUCUGCCAUCUGCACCUGCAGACGCACGUCAGCUAAUAGCCUUGUUAAUGAAAGACCAAUUCAUCCCAAGGACAUGCAACCUUGAGAUGAUCAGGACACAUCCUGCAACAUCCUUUGCUAACAAAGACAGUUGUUCUUGUAUUGAGGAACUGAAGGAAGGAACGCUUUCACUCCCUUAUGCAGCUGUUCAGCUUGAGCAGAAAAGGCACAGAGAGGUUUUCGAUAUUAUAACAAGAUUCCAUGAAAAGGCAUAUAAUAAUGUAUUUAUGAUAAUAUAUAAGGGGCAAAAGUGAGAGAUACAUAUUUAAUCAUAUAAAAGAGCUUAUAAUAAUAUAUGAAAGAGCUUAUAUGAGAGAU